rnacentral:rRNA from 1 species
AUUGAACGCUGGCGGCAGGCCUAACACAUGCAAGUCGAACGGUAACAGGAAGAAGCUUGCUUCUUUGCUGACGAGUGGCGGACGGGUGAGUAAUGUCUGGGAAACUGCCUGAUGGAGGGGGAUAACUACUGGAAACGGUAGCUAAUACCGCAUAACGUCUCAAGACCAAAGAGGGGGACCUUCGGGCCUCUUGCCAUCGGAUGUGCCCAGAUGGGAUUAGCUAGUAGGUGGGGUAACGGCUCACCUAGGCGACGAUCCCUAGCUGGUCUGAGAGGAUGACCAGCCACCCUGGAACUGAGACACGGUCCAGACUCCUACGGGAGGCAGCAGUGGGGAAUAUUGCACAAUGGGCGCAAGCCUGAUGCAGCCAUGCCGCGUGUAUGAAGAAGGCCUUCGGGUUGUAAAGUACUUUCAGCGGGGAGGAAGGGAGUAAAGUUAAUACCUUUGCUCAUUGACGUUACCCGCAGAAGAAGCACCGGCUAACUCCGUG